CGGUUUCCCCAAAAGGAGGCGUGGAAAGCCAGAGAGGCACAGAGAGGCACAAAAAGACUCUGUGAAGCAACAGUCACUCCCAUGAGUGACAAAGAACAGCCUCGCAGGCAGAGAAACUAAAGUGAGGCGCACAGUCAAACGGCAAAGCAGACAACUAGGCUACUCUGCAACCAAAAAACAGAGAAGAGCAAGAAACUUGACAACCAAAGAAGAGAAAGAUUAAGAGCAGCAUGAAAGGGAUGUUGUGCCAUCUCACCUUUCCUCCACUCCACAUGCAGAGUUUUAUCAGUACCUGAGGAAUUAUCGCUCCUAACCUUAAUCUCAACCUGACUGCUUAUGUCCGUCUGUUAGUCUCCACCUCUGAGUGACGUACGGCACAUUUUAACAACAGACUGACUGAUUUAAAAACACACUCAGCAGGGGGGGACAUGUCAUGUUCAUCACUGCCUCCUGCUCAUCCAGUGGUCUGCUUUCUUUGGUUCUGUAACUUCUGCAGGUCAGUCUGGGCUGGGCUGAGCAUGUGAAAACAACAACUGAGACUCUCAUAGGAUGGAUGCCAGAGAGGAGACACUGAACAUCUUGAACAAGAUCUGGGUCAAGCUGCAGGGUCUGCCCGACGCCCAACCCAUAGAGCUGGGAGCUUUCUUUGUCAUCUUAACCUUCAUCUUGGUGGUCCUGCUCAUGACAGCGCUGACGUGCGUGACCUGCUGCUGUCGCAAAACCAAGACGAGGGGAUUGAACAUUUGAGCAAAUGGGCUCGACACAAUGAAACAUAACAGCGGAUAGAAACACAACAUCAAGCUUUCUCUGUGGCUCUAAAGCAUAAUGUCAUGGUCAUAUACUUAAUAGAUACUUGAGACAAUUUGGUGAGCGACAAAGCUUUAUACAGGGCGUGUUUAGUAGCACUAAAGGAGCCCUGCCAUUGAACCACAAAACACCUGAUAAACACAGAGAUGGAUGUCCUGACAAACACACCUGCUAAGGCUGCCAGGUUUCCAGGACACUCUACAAUCCUUGGGGCAUUUCUGCGCUUUACAGGGCAACAACAAUGCUUCUGACAUGAGGAAACCCAAAGUAACUUGAUUAAUGUAGGAAAAUAAAUGGGAUAUGAGCUACCAAGAUGUGAAGAAUAAUAAUUAAAAAAACUGCAGUGAGUUGCACAGUGAGAUAUGAAGAGGAGAGCCAACUUGUUUUUUUAUGUAACUAUGUGUCAUUCUUAAGGAAUGACAAUUGGCAUUCAGAGUUUGGUAUGAUCCUCCUAGGGGCGUAGCUGUUUGCAAACCAGAAAGUGUUCCUUGACAUAAGUCACAACAAAGCAUAAAACAGAGAUCAAGUCUGCCCUCUGCUGUACACAAACCAGAAUUAACUACGAUUUAAUUUGAAAGGCACAGCAGGCUUGUAAUGACAGUUGUGUUUUAAUGUAUAAAGCUGCAUGUUAUAUUAUGUGUAAGGGGGGGGACAUUAUGUAAUGAUGUGAUACUUUGACAACACUUUUGAACGCAAUACACAAAAUGGGACUUG